rnacentral:rRNA from 1 species
GACGAACGUUGGCGGCGUGCUUAAUACAUGCAAGUCAACUGAAGCAGUGGUAGCAAUAUCGCUGUGGAGGUGGCGCACGGGUGAGUAACACGUAGGUAAGCUGCCUUCAGGUCUGGCAUAACUCCGGGAAACCGGGGCUAAUAGCAGAUGAUGCAGCGGCUCGACAUCGAGACAGUUGUUAAAGCUAUGGCGCCUGACGAUGAGCCUGCGUCUGAUUAGCUAGUUGGCGGGGUAACGGCCCCCCAAGGCAACGAUCAGUUGCUGGUCUGAAAGGAUGAUCAGCCACACUGGAACUGAGACACGGUCCAGACUACGACGGGAGGCAGCAGUAAGGAAUAUUGCUCAAUGGGAGAAAUACUGAAGCAGCAACGCCGCGUGAGGGACGAAGGGCUUUUGCUUGUAAACCUCUGUAGUGAGAGAAAAAAAUCCCAAUCUUUGGGAAAUGAUGGUAUCUCAAAAGUAAGCCCCGGCUAACUACGUG